GGCCUAUCAGCUUGUUGGUGAGGUAAUGGCUCACCAAGGCGACGACGGGUAGCCGGCCUGAGAGGGUGACCGGCCACACUGGGACUGAGACACGGCCCAGACUCCUACGGGAGGCAGCAGUGGGGAAUAUCGCACAAUGGGCGCAAGCCUGAUGCAGCGACGCCGCGUGAGGGAUGACGGCCUUCGGGUUGUAAACCUCUUUCAGUAGGGAAGAAGCCUUCGGGUGACGGUACCUGCAGAAGAAGCGCCGGCUAACUACGUGCCAGCAGCCGCGGUAAUACGUAGGGCGCGAGCGUUAUCCGGAAUUAUUGGGCGUAAAGAGCUCGUAGGCGGUUUGUCGCGUCUGCUGUGAAAGCCCGGGGCUUAACUCCGGGUGUGCAGUGGGUACGGGCAGACUAGAGUGCAGUAGGGGAGACUGGAAUUCCUGGUGUAGCGGUGAAAUGCGCAGAUAUCAGGAGGAACACCGAUGGCGAAGGCAGGUCUCUGGGCUGUUACUGACGCUGAGGAGCGAAAGCAUGGGGAGCGAACAGGAUUAGAUACCCUGGUAGUCCAUGCCGUAAACGUUGGGCACUAGGUGUGGGGGACAUUCCACGUUUUCCGCGCCGUAGUUAACGCAUUAAGUGCCCCGCCUGGGGAGUACGG
rnacentral:rRNA from 1 species